GGAGAAGACACAUAGACGAAUUACGUGAAUCAUCGAAUCUUUGAACGCACAUUGCGCCCUCUGGUAUUCCGGGGGGCAUGCCCUGUUCCGAAGCGUCAUUACAACCCUCAAGCUCUGCUUGGUAUUGGACAUUGCAGGUUUCUGGCAGGUCUUAAAAUCAGUGGCGGUGCCAUUGGGCUUCAAGCGUAGUAAUUCUUCUCGCUUUGGAGAUCCCAGUGGUUACUUGCCAAUAACCCCCAAUUUUUUCAGGUUGACCUCGGAUCAGGUAGGGAUACCCGCUGAACUUAAGCAUAUCAAUAAGCGAGGGAAGA
rnacentral:rRNA from 1 species